UACGUAGGCAGCAAGCGUUGUUCGGAAUUACUGGGCGUAAAGCGAGUGUAGGCGGUCGGCCAAGUCUGUUGUGAAAUCUCCCGGCUUAACUGGGAGGGUGCGACGGAAACUGGCCGGCUAGAGUACGGGAGAGGAGAGUGGAAUUCCUGGUGUAGCGGUGAAAUGCGUAGAUAUCAGGAGGAACACCAGCGGUGUAGACGGCUUCCUGGACCAUUACUGACGCUGAGGCACGAAAGCGUGGGGAGCAAACAGG
rnacentral:rRNA from 1 species